rnacentral:rRNA from 1 species
UACGUAGGGUGCAAGCGUUAAUCGGAAUUACUGGGCGUAAAGCGUGCGCAGGCGGCUUUGCAAGUCAGAUGUGAAAUCCCCGGGCUUAACCUGGGAACUGCAUUUGUGACUGCAUGGCUGGAGUGCGGCAGAGGGGGAUGGAAUUCCGCGUGUAGCAGUGAAAUGCGUAGAUAUGCGGAGGAGCACCGAUGGCGAAGGCAAUCCCCUGGGCCUGCACUGACGCUCAUGCACGAAAGCGUGGGGAGCAAACAGG